rnacentral:lncRNA from 1 species
GUCGAUUUGUUUUGUUUGAUUCUUCACUGUAUUUCUUUUGGUUUAGGGCCUCAAAAUUAUGUAAGUACAUAUAAUAUACUAUAUUUUUAAUAUUUUUUAUUAAAAAAUUUGAGGAAUGGGGGGUGUCUUCUAUGUGCAGUUCCUGUACCAGGCCCCUUAUGUAUAGUUAUCUUCAUUUGUCUCCACAAACUGGCAGUCAGGGUUAGGAGUUAUCAGGAGAUAUGGUUGUCCUGGCGCCAUCUGGUAUCCUGCUAGAGAGUAGGGAAGCACUGGGACCGUGUCGAUAGGGUGGGAGUAGAAGAGAACACAUUCUCAGUGGGGUCUCCAGAGAGCCUGGUGUGGAAGGCCAGGGCACAUUUCCAGAGCACUGAAGCCAGGCUGGUGAGAGUAGAAGUAAAUGCUGUGGAGAAGGAGGCAAGAGGUAGGGUCAGCGGGCCGUUGGAGGGCCUAAACCUCCUUGGAAGAUAGGCAGAAAGGUCUAGACUCUAUCCUUUGGCAGGGAAACCACUGUAAGAAGUCUGAGCAAAAGUGUUGGUUUGAAGGAAUUGGUCUCUUGAGGUGACAAGUCAAAUAAGUGAUGCACCACCAGUGGGACCAGGUUUCUGCCAAGCGCUCGGCUGCACGCUGUGCAUAACCAAAUGAAUAAGGCACAGCACCUUUUCUCAAAGAGCUCAUAGAAGGAAAGAUGAGAUCACAACACAAUGCCCUGAUGGCAGGGCUAGGGUGCUGGGUGAACACGGAGAAGAGAAAUGGCAUCUCAUCCCGCCUGAGAGUGGAGAGUGGUCAGAGGAGGCUUUCUGGAGGAGGUGAGCCAAAGACCAUGGGGAAAUUCGCCAUAUGUUCUAUUAAACAACUACGACGUAACAACCAUUGUUCUAGGCCCUGGGAGUACAGCAGGGAACAAUAAGCACAACAAAAAUAUUUUUAAAAUUAAAUUAUAUAAUAUGCUACAUAAAUGCUACAUAGAAGAAUAACACAAGAGAUCAGAGAGUAUGUGUGACAGGGCUUGGUUAUAAGAAAUGUCAAAAACUUGCACCACAGCGGUUGUAGGAGAGAUGGAGAGGAGGGGAUGAAUUCAAGACAUGUUUAGUAUAAAAAAAAAAAAUAGGUCUCAGCAACUUACAGCAUGUGGAGUCUAAAGGGGAAGAAGAAACUCAGGAAGAUGCCAGGAUUCUGUUUUAGGGAAGGGCUGAGGGGGAGGGGGGUUGCUACCACUGUAAACAAAUUCACCAAAAGUGUCUUUUCACUCUUUCCCACUCAAUCUCUUUCAAACAACUGUGACUGCCCAGAGGUAUACCUUAGAAUUCAAUCUUUCCAUGUAAAGCUUUAACUCCUGUUAAAAGACUUGUACCAAAGUUUAAACCAUGAUCAGUUGUCUACAUCUUAGUUCUUGUAUUCUAAAAGUGGGGUCCAUGAAUGGGGCUUCAGAGUACCUGUGAAUUCUCUGAUAUUGUCAGGAUUUUUCUAGGGAAAGGAACUAUAGCCUUCAUCAUGUUCUAUAAGGGAUGUAGGCCUCCACCUCUGUGCAGAUUAAGUGCCUGAGACGAGGUAAGAGAGAAGUGCCUAGACACUUGGGAGAAAGCUGGGGCCCAAGAGAAGGGAGAGAGGAAAUGGAAAAAGAUAGGGGGAGGGUGAUGCCAGAAGAUCAGCCCUGAGUGCUUCUUCACUCACCUGAAAGGCUUGGGAGCUAACAGGAAAGGAUGGGCUGUUCUCUGCUGCCCUCCCCCACUGUCCGGCCAGGACACCUGGGAAAGAUAAAGUGAAGGGCCAAACCCUUCAUUGAAGUACCCUUCACCAAAGUAUCUGUGAGGUGGGCGUUAGUAAGGGGCUGGCCCCACAAAGCACACAGCCAGGGUGCAGAACAAGAUGGUUCAGCCCAUAGAUGCUGCCAAGGGGUCGAGGGCCGAGGCAGAUCAGAACCCUCCGAAGACCACCCAGAGCAGGUACUGAGCCUGCAACUUGACCCCACCAGCUCCUGCCAGGACCCUUGGCAGCCCCCAACGUGAGAGCAUGGCCAAGUGUUAAAAGCAGAGGCUCACAGAGCAGCCCAGGAGACUCUGCAAGUUCCCAGGGCCGGAUCUACUGGCCUUGGACUUUACUCGUGCAGGCGCUUGCCUCAGAGCCCCUUACCUUUUGGGGGUCUUAGGCGGCAGGUAAGAGGGUCUCCUUCCCGGACAUCCUAGGAGGUAACUGGAGAGCAGAAGCUAGACGAAAGGGUAGGGGUAACCUGUUCUUAAAGGCAGGAAGUCCUGGGACCAGCGCUGGCAGGUGUUUUAGGCGUCAGGGACGGCCCUGGUCGCAUUGCCUGGCGCGUCGCAGCACUCAGGCAGGUUGGAAAGACGGUCCCCCUACCCCACCCCUCCAGCCACUCCUCUCAGUGAUGCCUCCUCCGUGAGUCUUCUUGGCCUCAGGAAUUGCUCCCUUGCCUGGGAACUACCACGCGGUCUAGAGAGACCGUGGGCUAUCGAAGAGUCUGGCCCGGGGUUGGCCCUGCCCGUCACUCCAGGAGGAUGGACAGAUGCAGGGACAGAAAGAGGGACUGGAGUUCACCUAGAGGUUUCUUAUUAACUGUCCCCAACCAGCUAAUUCCACCGCUUGUCUUCAAAGCUCUCUGCGCCGGGAGGCUGAGUCCGAGGACGGCGGGCGGAGGCGGGAAGAGUCGAGACCCCAGGUUAUGGAACGGCGCGGAGACAGUGGCCACAGGGAGCGGGAACUCGGGUGCUGAAAGCAGUCCUGGAGGGCUGCGCGGGGGCGAGGCCGAGACCACUCCCUCCUACUUCCCCGACGUUAUUUCCUGGGAGGAGUCGGAGCUGGCGGCCAGCGAGCAGAGAGAUUCCCGGAUCCCUCCUCCAGAGUAUGCAGCACGGGGGCCAGUGGUCCCUGAGCGCGCGCCAGGACCGUUUGGCCUUGAAUCAAGGCGCUAGGGCUGCGGAAAGUCUAGUACGACCUCUAAGGGUGUCCGCGAUGGCCGUCGCAUGUCGGCUCGUUGGUCUAGGGGUAUGAUUCUCGCUUCGGGUGCGAGAGGUCCCGGGUUCAAAUCCCGGACGAGCCCUACUUUGGUUUUUGCGGAGACGAGAGCGUGCCCUAAGGUGCUUGUUAUUGGAACGGCGCUGCGGAGGCUCGACUGGGAAGUGAUAAGAGCGAACUGAGCGCUUCAAGGAGGAGGGCAGUAAGGUCUCUUGUUUUGAGUGGAUACCCCGGUGGCAGGAAGAGGCUCACAGUGCACGGUCCUUCCUAGUGUGCCAGGGAGAACGCAGGCACCUCCAGACUUGGCCAAGACAUUCACUGUCUGCUCCCCUCCUUCCUGCUGGGUGCUUCUCCUGUGCCACCAGAGCCUGGUUUCGGUUUGAUUGAUGCCUGUCAACCUAUAGUAGUGGAUGACAGGUAGUGAAAUGAAGUGAGACCUCUUCAGGGUGGUGUUUGUGAGACCCCAGGGACUUUCAGGACUCAGGUCUUUGCAGCCUCGCAGCCCGUCUGUCUCUCGGUCACUCCUGCUCGUUACUACCCUUCUGGGGACUCACGCUCAGUAGGUUGAUUAGCCAUUACUCUCAUCGUUCAAUAUGCUUACUAGAAGUGUUCGUUGACAAUAACUUGAAAAACACAGAUGGGCAAACAGCACAAAACCGACGGCCCGAGUAAUCCCGCCUUCAGACUUUACCUCCGGCGUGGCGCUCGCUUUCGCCCGCAGCCGUGCGGAGACCCGGGCACGCGCCCCGCUCCGCACAGGGCACCGAGCCUGGGUUUUGUUUCCCUUGGCCUCCUCUCUUCUGCGUCUGUGGACUGGCACGGCCAUCCCAGGCGGAGAGUCCAGCGCGCUGUUUUCGAUGAGAGGGGCGUGAGGAGUACACCCGGCCGGGGUCGCGGGGAGCUGGCGCCUCACACGACCCUGGACACGCGACACUGGGACUAGGCCCAGGGAAAGGGGGGAAAAAUUUUUUUUAAAAGCACGGUUGCGUUGGCCGGGAAUCGAACCCGGGUCAACUGCUUGGAAGGCAGCUAUGCUCACCACUAUACCACCAACGCCGGCUAGCAAGCUUUCUUCCUGGGAUUCUUUAGGACUUAGAUACGUCGGCAGAGUCGUGGCCUGGGAGAUGUAACUUGGGGUCUGAACCAGAGCCCAGCAAGGGGUAAACACGAGGAAGGCCGAGACACAACGGCUGCGGUCUGCGGGGCACGCACGUGUGAGCGGCGCUCGGCUCCCAUCACCGCCAGUGCGCUCCAGUCACCCCACGAGAAACUGUGUGAUUCUACCCAGUCGACAGAGGGGGAAACCAAGGUCCAGAGAAGUUAAGUGAAGGGGUUUUCUGGCAGAGCUGGGAUUCAACCGUAAGAUUUUCUAGGGGCCCAGAUCUGCAUCGACAUAAUGGCUCUAUCAUCCCCCAAAAUAAAUCCCGAACACAUAAAAUCGCUUCUCUGUUGCGUGACCUCAGUGUGUCCCAAGAUUAAAGAAUCGGGCCUUAAACCAAGUGCGCCCAAGCCCAAUUUGUCCAGAGGAGGAUGUUUAAUUCCCUUGUGCGCGCGCAUCUAGUCUGCUAGCCGCUCUGAGAAACACGUGGACAAAAAUCUUCGGGGCGAGGUCUGAGAAUCAAACUCCGCCCCUAUUGCUGAUGAUGUGUCUGUUCACGAGACCCGUCAAGCGGCGGCCUCCAGAAGGCCUCGUGGCGCAACGGUAGCGCGUCUGACUCCAGAUCAGAAGGUUGCGUGUUCAAAUCACGUCGGGGUCAAAAGGUCACUUGUUUUCCGUAUCUGGAUAGACUGACUCGCUGUAAGAUAUUUCAAUAAAGAAAAAUGCACCUGCUUUUACUAUAUGAGGAAAAUAUGAACCUGAGUGUUUCUGUGUUUUUUUUCCUAAAGUUACAUGAAUUUUCCCCUAAAACAAAAAUUUUAGAACUUUUCACCUUACUGUUUCCGUAAAAUCAAUUAAAAUACUAAUAUCUUUCAUCUCAUGGAUAUUUUAGGUAUGCUAACACAGAAAUUGUUUCUAAACAGCCCCCAAUUCUUGUUCCGAAAAUGUAUGUGGAGCAAUAAGUGUUCCGUAUUGGAAAGAAUGUAGCAAUAAUGAAUAAUUUUAAAGUAAUAAUAGUAAUUUAUAGUCUGUAUC